AUUGAACGCUGGCGGCAGGCUUAACACAUGCAAGUCGAGCGAGCGGCGGACGGGUGAGUAAUGUCUGGGAAACUGCCUGAUGGAGGGGGAUAACUACUGGAAACGGUAGCUAAUACCGCAUACCAUCAGAUGUGCCCAGCUGGUAUUAGCUAGUAGGUGGGGUAAUGGCCCACGUAGGCGACGAUCCGUAGCUGGUCUGAGAGGAUGACCGGCGACACGGGAACUGAGACACGGUCCAUACUCCUACGGUAGGCAGCAGUGGGGAAUAUUGCGCAAUGGGCGCGAGCCUGAUGCAGCCAUGCCGCGUGUGUGAAGAAGGCCUUCGGGUUGUAAAGCACUUUCAGCGAUGAGGCGUUACUCGCAGAAGAAGCACCGGCUAACUCCGUGCCAGCAGCCGCGGUAAUAC
rnacentral:rRNA from 1 species